rnacentral:rRNA from 1 species
UGGAAGCGAUUAAGGGCGUACGGAGGAUGCCUAGGUAUCGAGAAGCGACGAAGGACGUGUCAGGCUGCGAAAAGUAUCGGCGAGCCGCCAAGAAGGCUUUGACCCGGUAAUGUCCGAAUGGGGGAACCCAGUCCGCAAGGAUUACCAUGAACUGAAUAAAUAGGUUCAUAGGAGCGAACGGAGGGAAUUGAAACAUCUUAGUACCUCUAGGAAAAGAAAACAAACAAGUGAUUC